rnacentral:lncRNA from 1 species
AGAGACUGCUGCUCAAGGCCAAGGCACAGUGACAGUGGCCAUGCACAGGUGGCCCAGGAGGUACUAGCCCACGCACCCACAGCAGCCAGACUGAACCACAGAGGGUUUGGAUGGGUCACUAGGAUGCAGGGACACCUCUCCCUGUCCAUUUCUUUGAAUGUCCCUGGAGGAGAGCCCCGCCCGCCUGCAGACGAGCCCACUGGGAUGGAAUGAUGACCCGGGCCACAUGCACUGAAGGGCCGCACACUGCUGUUGGCCUCCCCAGUGGCUGGGUCCCAGAAGCCUGUCUCUGCAGUUCCCCAGAGGCAGCCACCGUCAGCCUGCCUCGCCCCAGCACCGGCCAGCACCCAACAAUGUC